rnacentral:rRNA from 1 species
AACGAACGCUGGCGGCGUGGAUAAGACAUGCAAGUCGAACGGGACAUUUUUAGUAGUAAUAUUAGAGAUGUUCAGUGGCGAACGGGUGCGUAACACGUGGGCAACAUGCCUGGAAGAGCGGGAUAGCCCGGGGAAACUCGGAUUAAUACCGCAUGUGACAACGGGGCGGCUUCGCCCUGUUUUCAAAGGUGGGGACCGCAAGGCCUGCCGCUUCCAGAUUGGCCCGCGUCCUAUCAGCUAGCUGGCGGGGUAAAAGCCCACCAAGGCGACGACGGGUAGCUGGUCUGAGAGGACGACCAGCCACACUGGAACUGAGACACGGUCCAGACACCUACGGGUGGCAGCAGUCGAGAAUCUUUCACAAUGGGGGAAACCCUGAUGGAGCGACGCCGCGUGGAGGAUGACGGUCUUCGGAUUGUAAACUCCUGUCAUGAAAGAACAAGCGAGUCGGGUGAACAGCCCGGUGAGUUGAUAGUAUUUCAAGAGGAAGGGACGGCUAACUUCGUGCCAGCCGCCGCAGUAAGAC